GAAACUUAAAGGAAUUGACGGGGGCCCGCACAAGCGGAGGAACAUGUGGUUUAAUUCGAUGAUACGCGAGGAACCUUACCUGGGCUUAAAUGUAGAGUGCAUGAAAGGGAAACUUUUCUUUCCUUCGGGACUCUUUACAAGGUGCUGCAUGGUUGUCGUCAGCUCGUGCCGUGAGGUGUCGGGUUAAGUCCCAUAACGAGCGCAACCCUUGUCGUUAGUUGCUAGCAGGUCAAGCUGAGGACUCUAACGAGACUGCCGGUGUAAACCGAGAGGAGGGUGGGGAUGACGUCAAAUCAGCACGGCCCUUAUGUCCAGGGCUACACACGUGUUACAAUGGCCAGUACAAGGAGCAGCCACCUGGCAACAGGGCGCUAAUCCCAAAAGCUGGCCUCAGUUCGAAUCGGAGUCUGCAACUCGAUUUCGGGAAGGUGGAUUCGCUAGUAACCGCCCACCACCCACGCCGCGGGGAAUACGUUCCCGGGCCUUGUACACACGGCCCGUCAAGCCAUGGAAGCUGGGGGUACUUGAAGUCCGUAACCGCGAGGAGCGGCCUAGGUAAACCGGUGACUGGGGCUAAGUCGUAACAA
rnacentral:rRNA from 1 species